rnacentral:rRNA from 1 species
UACGAAGGGGGCUAGCGUUGUUCGGAUUUACUGGGCGUAAAGCGCACGUAGGCGGAUUGUUAAGUCAGGGGUGAAAUCCCGGAGCUCAACUCCGGAACUGCCUUUGAUACUGGCAAUCUUGAGGCUGGAAGAGGUUAGUGGAAUUCCCAGUGUAGAGGUGAAAUUCGUAGAUAUUGGGAAGAACACCGGUGGCGAAGGCGGCUAUCUGGCCCGUAAUUGACGCUGAGGCGCGAAAGCGUGGGGAGCAAACAGG